UUCCUCUCAGUGUUAGUGAUGGAACGGC
rnacentral:piRNA from 1 species